ACGAACGCUGGCGGCGUGCUUAACACAUGCAAGUCGAGCGGUAAGGCCUUUCGGGGUACACGAGCGGCGAACGGGUGAGUAACACGUGGGUGAUCUGCCCUGCACUUCGGGAUAAGCCUGGGAAACUGGGUCUAAUACCGGAUAUGACCUCCUAUCGCAUGGUGGGUGGUGGAAAGAUUUAUCGGUGCAGGAUGGGCCCGCGGCCUAUCAGCUUGUUGGUGGGGUAAUGGCCUACCAAGGCGACGACGGGUAGCCGACCUGAGAGGGUGACCGGCCACACUGGGACUGAGACACGGCCCAGACUCCUACGGGAGGCAGCAGUGGGGAAUAUUGCACAAUGGGCGAAAGCCUGAUGCAGCGACGCCGCGUGAGGGAUGACGGCCUUCGGGUUGUAAACCUCUAUCAGCAGGGACGAAGCGCAAGUGACGGUACCUGCAGAAGAAGCACCGGCUAACUACGUG
rnacentral:rRNA from 1 species